GACGAACGCUGGCGGCGUGCUUAACACAUGCAAGUCGAACGGAAAGGCCCUGCUUUUGUGGGGUGCUCGAGUGGCGAACGGGUGAGUAACACGUGAGUAACCUGCCCUUAACUUUGGGAUAACUUCAGGAAACUGGGGCUAAUACCGGAUAGGAGCUCCUGCUGCAUGGUGGGGGUUGGAAAGUUUCGGCGGUUGGGGAUGGACUCGCGGCUUAUCAGCUUGUUGGUGGGGUAGUGGCUUACCAAGGCUUUGACGGGUAGCCGGCCUGAGAGGGUGACCGGCCACAUUGGGACUGAGAUACGGCCCAGACUCCUACGGGAGGCAGCAGUGGGGAAUAUUGCACAAUGGGCGGAAGCCUGAUGCAGCAACGCCGCGUGCGGGAUGACGGCCUUCGGGUUGUAAACCGCUUUCGCCUGUGACGAAGCGUGAGUGACGGUAAUGGGUAAAGAAGCGCCGGCUAACUACGUG
rnacentral:rRNA from 1 species